rnacentral:rRNA from 1 species
UACGGAGGGCGCAAGCGUUGUUCGGAAUCAUUGGGCGUAAAGCGCGUGCAGGCGGCUUGGUAAGUCGGGCGUGAAAGCCCGGGGCUCAACCCCGGAACUGCACCCGAUACUGCCUCGCUAGAGUCCCGGAGAGGAUGGCGGAAUUUCCGGUGUAGAGGUGAAAUUCGUAGAUAUCGGAAGGAACACCAGCGGCGAAGGCGGCCAUCUGGACGGUGACUGACGCUCAGUCGCGAAAGCGUGGGGAGCAAACAGG